rnacentral:rRNA from 1 species
UACGAAGGGAGCUAGCGUUGUUCGGAAUUACUGGGCGUAAAGAGCGCGUAGGCGGUUUAACAAGUCAGGCGUGAAAGCCCUGGGCUCAACCCGGGAAUUGCGCUUGAGACUGUUUUUCUAAGCGUACGAGAGAGGUAAGUGGAAUUCCCAGUGUAGCAGUGAAAUGCGUAGAUAUUGGGAGGAACACCAGUGGCGAAGGCGGCUUACUGGCUCGUGACUGACGCUAAGGCGCGAAAGCGUGGGGAGCAAACAGGAUUAGAUACCCGAGUAGU